rnacentral:rRNA from 1 species
UACGUAGGGUGCGAGCGUUAAUCGGAAUUACUGGGCGUAAAGCGUGCGCAGGCGGCUCGUGAUGUCUGAUGUGAAAGCCCCGGGCUCAACCUGGGAAUUGCAUUGGAAACUAGCGGGCUGGAGUGUGGCAGAGGGGGGUGGAAUUCCACGUGUAGCAGUGAAAUGCGCAGAUAUCGGGAGGAACACCUAUGGCGAAGGCAGCUCGCUGGGACGUUACUGACGCUGAGACGCGAAAGCGUGGGGAGCAAACAGG